GGAGGGUAUGUGAAAAUGGUGAGAGAUGAGUUUGGAGAAGAAGAAUUGAUUGAAAUGGUUGCAGAUUUUUGCAAUGGUUCUUGGUAGAUCCAAAUGUGGGUGAGGAACACUCAGAGAGAUGAAGACGUGCUCACCAUAUCAAUCAUCAAAAAGGGAAUCAGGGCUUUGCUCUCAGUUCUAAUCAAAUAGUUAUUGGCAAGGUCUUUCUAAGCAUUUCUUGAUUACACAUUUAAUGUCACAUAAGCAAAUUUAUUGGUUAGCUAACAACAAAGGUGGUUCGGUAUCUUCAUAUAGCAUUAAGAGUUUCUAUGAUAUGUCAUGUAAAUUGAUUCAAUGUAAAUUGACAUGUCAUGUAAAUUGCUCUAUUUUACAACUUA